UUCACUAAGGUGUGAACCCUUAACUCGCACUCGCAAACCCAUGCGCGCGUGACAUGGGCGAAUUAGUUGCAAUGUGGCGCUUUGAUGGCACACUUUGUUUUGCACUUCACAUACUUGCAUCACCAUGAACCGUUUGAGAGACGUCUUCGUAUUGUUGAUCGUAUGUGCGUGGUCUAGUACAUAGAAGUUUCCCCGUAUAACCACCAAGGAGAGAGAGACCUUUGUUGAAAUGCACAUCAACAACACAUGAAGUACAAACUACGAUCUUGGGAGGUUGCAAACAGUUUUAGGUUAAUUAGGUUUUCAUAGUGAUGCAUAAUCCCCUAAUUGAGUAAUUUGAUCAGGAUCACAUCUGGAUGAACAGGAAGUUCUGUUGAAGGAUGGGGAACACAUGAAGGUUUGAUAAUUGAGAUUUUGUCUUAUAGAAACGAGGAACUGCGAAACUUAUGCGCAAAGUUACAAUGAAGAUCCCCUUAAAGCACUAGACAAGGAACUUACAAGAGAUUUUGAGUUUUGGGUUUGUUGAUGUUGUGUACGACUUGUAUGUGAUGUUGUCCUUGGUGGUAUUUAGUCUUGCCUUGACUAAUCUUGAGGAAGAUUUGACAGUCUUCAAUGAAAUUGUGGAUGUAUUGCUGUUUUGUCGUUGAUUUAGACUCCAUGCCACCGAUAUCGCCUAAGACAUAGCGGUUUUUUUUGGUAAUCUUGGAUCAAUUGUUCGAUAAGAAUCAAAAUGGCAUCUGGGAUUUGUAACAAAAAGUUAACGAAAAUCAUGCUUCAAGAUUUGCCAUUUUGACAGCUCACAAAAAAAUGGUAACUUCAUGUUUCUAACCACCAUGAAGAUGCUGAAUCCAGUUUUUCCUUCUUUUUUGGGCCUACUGCUUCGUUUUUGCAUAUUCAUUGAAGAGGUGGAGCCAGUAAUUUUAGGGAAAAAUUGUCUGAUGUACUGGUUAUAGGUCAAGGGCAGUAGGUCAUAGAGUCAAAUAUAUAGGCGGGUUUCGAGUUUGAACGGGUCAAAGUAGCUGGUGAUUUUCAGCUGUGAGGUUUGUAUUGUUUUUAACUCUUCUUAAUCAAUCAUGGAAAUAUACAUUGUUGGUGUGUCCUUGAGUU